UUAUGGCCAUAUCACAUUGAAACACUAGUUCCCAUACACUCACCAAAGUUAAGCAACAUCAAGCCUGGUCAGUAACUAGAUGGGUGACUGCUUGGGGAUACCAGGUGCUGUAA